GUUUUGGCUGAGAGAGGACUGCAGCUGCUCAAGGGUUUCCUUUGCUGUGCAGACGGUGUGACUGUUGUAUGCACUGAACAAUGCCUGCACAAGACAGUAUGCAAUAAUCCCAGUGAUGCUUCAUUGUUUUUCAUUAUUGCACUGGCAACUAACUGUACAUGCUCCAUUUCUCAUGCCAUCAUCCUAAUGAAGAAAUACUUUCAAACAGUGGAAUGGACCAUGUGCUUUAUCUUAGCCUAACUGAAGGCUGUUGGAUGAAAAGUGAUAAGCUGUUGCCUGACGUUUUCUAAAACUAUUUUUAUUUCUUGUACCUGGGUGUAAAAUGUGGAUACAUCUACUUAUUUAUAGUAAUUUUUAAGGUUCUGGAUAAGUAUCUUCUACAAGGAAUACAAUUUCCAGGUCUUAGAAAUGAUUCAGCCUAGUAUUUACUAAAAAGAUUCAAAUAUAUCCGUUGAACAAAUGAAUAAAACAGCAAGCAUGGAAUUGGAUACUACCACAUAGAAAUGUGGUUUGUCAUUUCUGAGAGCUGGGGGUUUCAGGGUAUGUGAUGAGAAUGACAUAAAGAUGCAGUUUGAUCACAGACAGAUUUCAGUCUGGAGAGGAGCAGAGCUAUAUCCACACUAUACACCCUUGUCCCCAUCUUCUUUAGCAUCGUCUUGGAGUUGGUCUAUGGCAUACUAUAGUCUUUGAAAAAUUCUGUCUUAAAGAAUUCCAUUACCAUAAUCUGUGUGUUAGAAGUCUCAAUGAUAAACAAAAGGCUAAGGAGUAGGUUUGUUUGAGUUGAGAGGAUGCUAGUUCACAAGUGUUCAUGUGUAUAUAUAUAAAAUUAUCAGAAAUGAUGCACUUUGGUGCUUUGCUUCCUUCUCUGUGUCCCCUCAUGAAUACUUCCAGAAGUAUUAGUUCCUGGUUUAGGAAGGGUAUAAUUUAAAAGGGGGAAGAAACAUUUUGACAUUUUAAUAAAUCCUAUUAAUAAACUGACAUUUGGUUUUACAAAUAAACUUGGGAUUUCCAAAUACCUGAUUUUUAACUGAAAGGUACUAUACUUGAGCUUGCUAUCAGGAAAACGCAUUGAGAAAAUGCCAGAUGCAUAAAGUUCUGGUGUUCUCCCUUUAGGUAUGUUUUAUUAUUACCAUGUUGUACUCUGACCUGUAUGUAAAUAUUCCUGCUCAUUCCAAGGUCUAAAAAACCUGCUACAAAUAGGCCGCCACUGGGCUAAGAACCUUUGAGUUCUAAAAUGACUCUAUGGAGCAAUGUAUAUGAAGGUAGGCCAUGCAUAGUCAUGCAGAAAUGUUAAGGAGUUUCUCCUUAUGUAUGCACAACUGGAGGCAUUGCUCUUCUUUGCCUAAGAUUUAUAUUUCUGCUGUAUCAAAAUAAUCUUUUAGUUAAGGGCUAUCCGGAAACUUUAUUUUUAAAAGCUUGG